rnacentral:rRNA from 1 species
UACGUAGGGAGCAAGCGUUGUCCGGAAUCAUUGGGCGUAAAGCGCGCGUAGGUGGCCCCGUAAGUCCACUGUGAAAGUCAAAGGCUCAACCUUUGAAAGCCGGUGGAUACUGUGGGACUAGAGUACGGAAGAGGCGAGUGGAAUUCCUGGUGUAGCGGUGGAAUGCGCAGAUAUCAGGAGGAACACCAAUAGCGAAGGCAGCUCGCUGGGACGUUACUGACACUGAGGCGCGAAAGCGUGGGGAGCGAACAGG